rnacentral:rRNA from 1 species
AGAACGAACGCUGGCGGCAUGCCUAAUACAUGCAAGUCGAACGAACUCUUCGGAGUUAGUGGCGCACGGGUGCGUAACGCGUGGGAAUCUGCCCCUUGGUUCGGAAUAACAGUUGGAAACGACUGCUAAUACCGGAUGAUGACGAAAGUCCAAAGAUUUAUCGCCAAGGGAUGAGCCCGCGUAGGAUUAGCUAGUUGGUGAGGUAAAGGCUCACCAAGGCAACGAUCCUUAGCUGGUCUGAGAGGAUGAUCAGCCACACUGGGACUGAGACACGGCCCAGACUCCUACGGGAGGCAGCAGUAGGGAAUAUUGGACAAUGGGCGAAAGCCUGAUCCAGCAAUGCCGCGUGAGUGAUGAAGCCUUAGGUUGUAAAGCUCUUUACCCGAGAUGAUAAUGACAGUAUCGGAGAAUAAGCCCCGGACUAACUCCGUGCCAGCACGCCGCGU